rnacentral:rRNA from 1 species
AGAGAGAGACAUGCGCGCAUAUCAAUAAGCGGAGGAAAAGAAACUAACAAGGAUUCCCUUAGUAACGGCGAGUGAAGCGGGAAGAGCUCAAAUUUGAAAUCUUCAAGGUUUUACCUUGACGAAUUGUAGUUUAAAGAAGUGUUUUCUGCUGAAGUUUUGGUAAAAGUUCUUUGGAAUAGGACAUCAUAGAGGGUGAGAAUCCCGUAUUUGACCAUUAUUUUCAGCUUUGUGAUACACUUUCAAAGAGUCGGAUUGUUUGGGAAUGCAGUCCAAAAUGGGUGGUAAAUUUCAUCUAAAGCUAAAUAUUGGCGAGAGACCGAUAGCGAACAAGUACCGUGAGGGAAAGAUGAAAAGAACUUUGAAAAGAGAGUUAAACAGUACGUGAAAUUGUCAAAAGGGAAGCGUUUGACACCAGUGUUGUUUUCUCGAAAAUCAAUUAAAAAUGGCUCGAUUUUGUAUUGCUUGAGACCUUAAAAGCUCACUGUACAUUUUUUCGUGUCUUUUUUAAUGCACUUUUCGUUUAACAAGUCAACAUCAGUUUCUUUUGUUGUAAAAGGGUCAUUGGAAGGUGGCUUUCUUUUCGGAGAAAGUGUUUAUAGCCUUUGGCCUCUGCAAUCGAAGAGACUGAGGUCUGCAGCGUAGACUCUUCGGGGUUAGAUACAUUUGUGCUAAGUUAUAGCUUUUUAUAGACAACUUGUUGACUAUAAUUAGUCUUGUAGCUUACUCGCUUAUGCUAUUUUACCUACGCUUAGGAUGUUGAAGAUGUAGCACAUCAU